AAACCGGCCCUUUUUAGGGCCACAAUCAUAACUUCGUUAUUAAUU
rfam:Oikopleura dioica, whole genome shotgun assembly, reference scaffold set, scaffold scaffold_9